rnacentral:rRNA from 1 species
GGGGAAUAUUGGACAAUGGGCGAAAGCCUGAUCCAGCCAUGCCGCGUGUGUGAAGAAGGUCUUCGGAUUGUAAAGCACUUUAGUUGGGGGGAAGGGGUUCUGGCUCAAUACCCGGAAUUUUGACGGUUACGGAAGAAUAAACCACGGCUAACCUCGUUCCAGCAGCCGCGGUAAUACGAAGGGUGCAAGCGUUAAUCGGAAUUACUGGGCGUAAAGCGCGCGUAGGGUGGUUCGUUAAGUUGGAUGUGAAAGCCCCGGGCUCAACCUGGGAACUGCAUCCAAAACUGGCGAGCUAGAGUAUGGCAGAGGGUGGUGGAAUUUCCUGUGUAGCGCUGAAAUGCGUAGAUAUAGGAAGGAACACCAGUGGCGAAGGCGACCACCUGGGCUAAUACUGACACUGAGGUGCGAAAGCGUGGGGAGCAAACA